rnacentral:rRNA from 1 species
CCUACGGGAGGCAGCAGUGGGGAAUAUUGCACAAUGGGGGAAACCCUGAUGCAGCGACGCCGCGUGAGUGAAGAAGUAUUUCGGUAUGUAAAGCUCUAUCAGCAGGGAAGAAGAAAGACGGUACCUGACUAAGAAGCCCCGGCUAACUACGUGCCAGCAGCCGCGGGAAUACGUAGGGGGCAAGCGUUAUCCGGAUUUACUGGGUGUAAAGGGAGCGUAGACGGCUGUGCAAGUCUGAAGUGAAAGCCCAGGGCUCAACCCUGGGACUGCUUUGGAAACUGUGGAGCUAGAGUGCUGGAGAGGUAAGUGGAAUUCCUAGUGUAGCGGUGAAAUGCGUAGAUAUUAGGAGGAACACCAGUGGCGAAGGCGGCUUACUGGACAGUAACUGACGUUGAGGCUCGAAAGCGUGGGGAGCAAACAGGAUUAGAUACCCUUGUAGUC